UACGUAGGUGACAAGCGUUGUCCGGAUUUACUGGGCGUAAAGGGCGCGUAGGCGGCUUUAUAAGUCGGGGGUGAAAGCCUGUGGCUCAACCACAGAAUUGCCUUCGAUACUGUAGAGCUUGAGACCGGAAGAGGUAAGUGGAACUGCGAGUGUAGAGGUGAAAUUCGUAGAUAUUCGCAAGAACACCAGUGGCGAAGGCGGCUUACUGGUCCGGUUCUGACGCUGAGGCGCGAAAGCGUGGGGAGCAAACAGG
rnacentral:rRNA from 1 species